UGGAGCCGAGCAGUAACAAUUGAG
rnacentral:piRNA from 1 species